UUGUGUCUAAUAUUAAGAUUUAAGAACUCUACUGGGAAAUUUUUCAGAUUGCCUCUACAUUCAUUAACAUUUCAAUAAAUUGUAUUAGACCAGAUUUUAUUAGAGUUGUUCCCCUUGAAAAGCAUUUUUUUUAAUUUGAAGUAUGAUCUAUAAAAAGGUUGAAUUAUUGUUAAUUUUCUCUGAUCAAAAUGUUCACUCAUAAUCACUUUUGGUUUUAGGAUAAAGUAGUUCAGAAUCAUUCAUUUCUUUCUUUUUUUUUCAUAAAUAAAAGUUGUGAAAUUUGCAAUUUACUACUUCAGUCCAUGGUUUGGCAAAAACAAAAAAUCUGU
rnacentral:sRNA from 1 species